GGAUUAGAUACCCUGGUAGUCCACGCCGUAAACGUUGGGCACUAGGUGUGGGGAUCUAUCGACGGUUUCCGUGCCGAAGCUAACGCAUUAAGUGCCCCGCCUGGGGAGUACGGCCGCAAGGCUAAAACUCAAAGGAAUUGACGGGGGCCCGCACAAGCGGCGGAGCAUGUGGCUUAAUUCGAUGCAACGCGAAGAACCUUACCAAGGCUUGACAUUCUGGGUAAUCCGUGGAAACACGGUGAUCCUUCGGGAUCCAGAACAGGUGGUGCAUGGCUGUCGUCAGCUCGUGCCG
rnacentral:rRNA from 1 species